GACGAACGCUGGCGGCGUGCCUAAUACAUGCAAGUAGAACGCUGAAGAGAGGAGCUUGCUCUUCUUGGCUGAGUUGCGAACGGGUGAGUAACGCGUAGGUAACCUGCCUUGUAGCGGGGGAUAACUAUUGGAAACGAUAGCUAAUACCGCAUAACAAUGGAUGACACAUGUCCUUUAUUUGAAAGGGGCAAUUGCUCCACUACAAGAUGGACCUGCGUUGUAUUAGCUAGUAGGUGAGGUAAUGGCUCACCUAGGCGACGAUACAUAGCCGACCUGAGAGGGUGAUCGGCCACACUGGGACUGAGACACGGCCCAGACUCCUACGGGAGGCAGCAGUAGGGAAUCUUCGGCAAUGGGGGCAACCCUGACCGAGCAACGCCGCGUGAGUGAAGAAGGUUUUCGGAUCGUAAAGCUCUGUUGUAAGUCAAGAACGGGUGUGAGAGUGGAAAGUUCACACUGUGACGGUAGCUUACCAGAAAGGGACGGCUAACUACGUG
rnacentral:rRNA from 1 species